rnacentral:rRNA from 1 species
CGCAAGCCUGACGGAGCAACGCCGCGUGAGGGAUGAAGGCCUUUGGGCUGUAAACCUCUUUUCUCAAGGAAGAAGACCUGACGGUACUUGAGGAAUAAGCCACGGCUAAUUCCGUGCCAGCAGCCGCGGUAAUACGGGAGUGGCAAGCGUUAUCCGGAAUUAUUGGGCGUAAAGCGUCCGCAGGCGGCCGUUUAAGUCUGUUGUUAAAUCGUGGAGCUCAACUCCAUCACGGCAAUGGAAACUGUUCGGCUUGAGUAUGGUAGGGGCAGAGGGAAUUUCCGGUGUAGCGGUGAAAUGCGUAGAUAUCGGGAAGAACACCAGUGGCAAAAGCGCUCUGCUGGGCCAUUACUGACGCUCGUGGACGAAAGCCAGGGGAGCGAAAGGGAUUAGAUACCCCUGUAGUCCUGGCCGUAAACGAUGAACACUAGAUGUUGGGGGAAUCGACCCCUCCGGUGUCGUAGCUAACGCGUUAAGUGUUCCGCCUGGGGAGUACGCACGCAAGUGUGAAACUCAAAGGAAUUGACGGGGGCCCGCACAAGCGGUGGAGUAUGUGGUUUAAUUCGAUGCAACGCGAAGAACCUUACCAAGGCUUGACAUCCUGCGAAUCUCCAAGAAAUUGGAGAGUGCCUUCGGGAACGCAGUGACAGGUGGUGCAUGGCUGUCGUCAGCUCGUGUCGUGAGAUGUUGGGUUAAGUCCCGCAACGAGCGCAACCCACGUUUUUAGUUGCCAGCAUUCAGUUGGGCACUCUAGAAAGACUGCCGGUGACAAACCGGAGGAAGGUGUGGACGACGUCAAGUCAUCAUGCCCCUUACGCCUUGGGCUACACACGUACUACAAUGCUGCGGACAAAGAGUAGCGAUCUUGCAAAAGUUAGCUAAUCUCGUAAACCGUGGCUCAGUUCAGAUCGUAGGCUGCAACUCGCCUACGUGAAGGAGGAAUCGCUAGUAAUCGCAGGUCAGCAUACUGCGGUGAAUACGUUCCCGGGCCUUGUACACACCGCCCGUCACACCAUGGAAGUUGGCCAUGCCCGAAGUCGUUACUCUAACCUUUUGGAAGAGGGCGCCGAAGGCAGGGCUAAUGACUGGGGUGAAGUCGUAACAAGGUAGCCGUAGCGGAAGCUGCGGCUGGAUCACCUCCUAA